rnacentral:lncRNA from 1 species
GAACAGUGUCAAGUGUUUCUUUGGCUAUAAUAUCUGCAAGUUUUGUUCAUAUUUUUGACAUUUUAAACUCUUUAAAUGGCAGGAAAAUCCCCCAAAAGAAAGAGUAUUCACUUCAAAGAAAGGAAGCAAUUUGCCAAUGAUCUCAAGUGGUUAUGAAUCGAGGCAGUCAAUCACAAAGAUAAAUGUAUUUAAAGGAUUGGCAAAAACAUGAAUACGUGAUCUGUAGUUUGCGAUAACAUACCUUGUUGAUGCCAAAUGAAGCAGAGAUGCCAGGAGGUACGGUUAUGCCGUCUUCGUACGGAAAAGGCAUUUGUCCUUGGUGAUUGACAAGAAUCUUGAAGCCGGCGGCUGGUGAAAGUUGGUCAAUGUAGUUCUCCUGAUCGACAAAAAGCCGGAGAGAUAGACCUUGUAAGAUAAAAUGAGAAAUAUAUAGUGUACCUCAACCAUGAUUAUAGUUUCGACUGCAAGUCUUGGCAUUAAGUUACAACUAAACCAGCAAGAGAGUACAACAACAACAGCAUUAGCAAGAACAACAACAACAACAACAACAACAACAACAGUAGCAAGAACAACAACAGCAACAACAACAACAACAACAGUAGCAAGAACAACAACAGCAACAACAACAGCAACAACAACAACACCAACAACAACUACAACAGCAAAUUUAUUCUUUCCUGGUCCAGUAUACUGAAAAUCGUGCGCUCUGAUUGGCUGCGCAAUCCGGCGGGAAUUUUCUAUCUCUGCCCGCGGUUCGCUAUCCUGACUUAAGGCUUACGUCAUUCAAGUGGGCGGUUGGGAAAACGGUUUGUUAAAUGACAAAACAAAUCACAAAACGACCUGUAAACUGUCCUAAAGUCGGUCCAAAAAAACUGUGCCUUCGGUCUUGAAAACAAAACCCCUGGCCUUGCAGCCUUGGUCUGUAUAUUCUAGACCUUGUGUAAAGUUUCCCCUAUCCAGACCGGAACGUCUGGAAAUCACUCUUUUCAAUAUUAAAUUUACUACGAUAAUUAGUAGAAAGCAUCGUUUACCCUGAACAGGUCCCACCAUGUUGGACUUCAGUGUCUUCAUCUUCCCACCAGGAUUAAAUACAAAGCAGUUGCCGUACUUGUAGUGCCAAAAGGUGUUCCAACGAGCAAUGGACGACUGCCUAGAAACAAGAGAACGACAGCAGCAACGACCUCACGGGGAAACAGCAAGAGACAAACCAAAUAGAAGCGCAGAAUUAAAACAACGGAGACGGCAACCAAGUGACAAUAACAGGGAUGUUUUCGAAAGCUACGGCAGCAAUUAACAACUCAGCAGCUGUAGCAAGAGCAACAACAACAACAACAACAAAAAUUAACAGUUACUAUACAAUGCCAUCAGCAACACCAGGAACAUAACGACGGCGAAUAAGGAAACUAUGUGUAUAGGUAAUAGGACUACAUGCUGUCCAAUUUGGAAAUAAUUGGAUGAAAAAAAUUCCGAGGACUGACAAAAUUGGAAGAGACCGACAGGCCGAGUCCAAUUUGGUAGUCAGAGAAAAUUUUUGAAUUCAAUUAUUUCCAAAUUGGACAGACAUGUAGUCCUAUUGCAGAUUAAUUAUUUCAUCCCAAACUUUACUAUACUAGGAAAAUGCGAAUGGAAAUGAUCCAAAUUAAUCUUUAAUUUGGACAGGAAGAGAAUUUGAAGAUAUAUAUAUG